rnacentral:rRNA from 1 species
GAGUUUUGAUCUUGGCUCAGAUUGAACGCUGGCGGAAUGCUUUACACAUGCAAGUCGAGCGGCAGCGCGGGGCAACCUUGGCGGCGAGCGGCGAACGGGUGAGUAAUGCAUCGGAACAUGUCCAUGUCGUGGGGAUAGCCCGGCGAAAGCCGGAUUAAUACCGCAUACGCCCGAGAGGGGAAAGUGGGGGACCGCAAGGCCUCACGCGAUUGGGUUGGCCGAUGUCCGAUUAGCUAGUUGGCGGGUUAAAGGCCCACCAAGGCGAUGAUCGGUAGCUGGUCUGAGAGGAUGAUCAGCCACACUGGGACUGAGACACGGCCCAGACUCCUAC